rnacentral:rRNA from 1 species
CUUGAAUUUCAUAAGAGGUCCAGCCUGCCCAGUGACACAAUUAAACGGCCGCGGUACCCUGACCGUGCGAAGGUAGCAUAAUCACUUGUUCUCUAAAUAAGGACUUGUAUCAACGGCAUCACGAGGGUUAUACUGUCUCCUCUUUUUAAUCAGUGAAACUGACUUUCCCGUGAAGAGGCGGGAAUAAAGAUACAAGACGAGAAGACCCCAUGGAGCUUUAAACCCAAUAGUAACCUCUAUUUACUACUACUACUUAAUCAAGAGGGUUUAUCUACUGGUUUUAGGUUGGGGUGACCCUGGAGUAAAACUUAACCUCCAUGAUGAAUAGAAUUUAUUCUAAUCCCAGAGCCACUGCUCUACGAAUCAAAAUUUGACAUAAACUGAUCCGCCUACCGAUCAACGAACCA